UAGAAAAGAUAGAGUUUGAUCCUGCUUCAGGACGAACGCUGGCGGCGUGCUUAAUACAUGCAAGUCGAACGAGGAGCUUUUGUCUUCGGAUGGAGGCUUCCUAGUGGCGAACGGGUGAGUAACGCGUUGGUGACCUGCCCCGAAGUGGGGGAUAACAGUUCGAAAGGACUGCUAAUACCGCAUACAAUCAGUUGGGUUAGAGACCUUCUGAUAAAAGGAGUAAUUCGCUUCGGGAGGGGCCUGCGUCCCAUCAGCUAGUUGGUAAGGUAAUGGCCUACCAAGGCGAUGACGGGUAGGGGACCUGAGAGGGUGGCCCCCCACAAUGGCACUGAAACACGGGCCAUACACCUACGGGUGGCAGCAGUAGGGAAUAUUGGACAAUGGGCGAAAGCCUGAUCCAGCAACGCCGCGUGUGCGAUGACGGCCUUCGGGUUGUAAAGCACUUUUAGAGGAGAUGAGAAAGGACAGUAUCCUCUGAAUAAGCCUCGGCGAACUACGUGCCAGCAGCCGCGGUAAAACGUAGGAGGCUAGCGUUAUCCGGAUUUAUUGGGCGUAAAGCGCGUGCAGGCGGUUUAUCAAGUUGGAUGUGAAAGCUCCUGGCUUAACUGGGAGAGGUCGUUCAAAACUGAUAGACUAGAGAAUGGUAGAGGGAGGUGGAAUUCCGGGUGUAGUGGUGAAAUGCGUAGAUAUCCGGAGGAACACCAGUGGCGAAAGCGGCCUCCUGGGCCAUUUCUGACGCUAAGACGCGAAAGCUAGGGUAGCAAACGGGAUUAGAGACCCCGGUAGUCCUAGCCGUAAACGAUGUGGACUUGGCGUUGGCGGAGUUAAAUCUGCCAGUGCCGUAGCUAACGCGAUAAGUCCACCGCCUGGGGACUACGACCGCAAGGUUAAAACUCAAAGGAAUUGACGG
rnacentral:rRNA from 1 species